AUACCCAUACGAAAAAGAAAUUUGAUAAAAGGUCAAUAAAAGGCAAACAAAGGGCUAGCAAAAGGUACUUCUAUGUUUUGUUAAAACCUUUUAUAAGCCUUUCAUUUAACAAAAUACUAACAAAAGACUAUUAAGGAUUUUGUGAGUAAUACAUUUUGUUUACCUUUUGUUUCAGAUUCUGCCUUUUAUUAAUGUUUCAUUACACUUAGAAUUUGAAAUUUACCUUUUAUUAGCAUUGGAUUGGACUUAUAUUCUUAAAUGUUGCCAUUUGUUUGUAUUUCAUUCCACUUAGAAUCACACUUACAUAUUUUGUUUGUAUUUCAUUACACUUGCUUUCAAAAACAAGAAGUUUUGUUCAUAUUUCAAUACAUUUGUAGGUUUGGACGACUUGUUUCACAAAAUCUAGCAUAAACAAAUUAGUUUCAUAUUUCAUUGAUAUUGGCUAAAUACUGCUGCUGCUGUUUUGAAUUUAGAGCUACAUCUACCAUUCACUAUGUUCUUCAUAUACAUAAUUACACUUCUGACGAUUGCAAAGGUUUGUCAGUAAGUAAAUGGCUACUGAGCACUUGCAAAUGCAUAAUAUUCUUUAUCAUACAUAAUCAGCUUUAAGAGAGACAAUCUAUAAACAGAGACCACUUAAAAUAAUAAUUAAAACUUCUCCUGAAAAAACAAUUCCAAUGUUUUUCUCAUUCCAUAGAAUUCCUUAGAAUUUUUUAAGAUAAUGCAAAGUUUUCCUAGUAAGAUUUUGUUUUAUUUAAAUUGCAGCAAAGAUUAUAUUGAAAAUCUUAAGAUCUGUUUGGAUUAUACUAGGUAUCCAAAUCAAUUGAAAUGAAACAAGGAAUCUAACUAAUUAAAAUUUAUGUCAAUGUUUUCAUUUUGUAUAUUAAAAGGAUGUUAAUUAGAAUUUUAUUUAUAAUUAAUAUAACAAGAUAUAUCAUUGAAAAUAGGUCCUAUUUAUAAAUUAUAUAAGCUAUUUAUUUUUUUGUUAUUGAACACCUCAAACAACAGCACCAGAUAAUAGGCAUUAAAAGUCAUUUCAUAAGUACAACAAAUUGUAAAUGAUAUUAUGCUUUUGAUAUAAUGCUACAUCCUCAUAAAUGAAUUAGUCUAUUCUUUUGAUGACUGGCAGUGAUUAAUUAUCCUGCUUUUACAGCCACUUGAUAUACUGCUGUUCAAUGUAUACACAUGUGUUAACACACAGAGAAACAGCUUAUCUGAUCAAGAUAAGGACCAAUGAAAAUACAGGCUUCUGAACCGUUUUUCACCUGUACAGCAAAAAAUAAUCCCCAUCUUUCUGCUUGUUUUUUUUUUCUCUGAGAUCUUUGCAAAUGCUGUGAGCAAAUAAAUGGUCAAAUUUUCCCAUGAACUGUAUACUUAUAUAUUUUAAGAACAUAGAUAUUCCCUUCAGUAACUAUAUAUUGUACCAAAGAAAAUGGCUCAUGAAUACAAAAAUUUGAAUGUAAACAGGAAGUUCGUUGUUCAUGUUGUUGGAGGUAAAUGGAAUAAAGCUAACUUGAAACUUUAAAAUGCUUUUAGAGAGAUAUCAGAUGAAACAGUACGUGUGCAUAUAUCUAGUUAUUAGAGGUAUAUGCCUAUAUGUAUGAACUGAUGUAGUUGGAGAAAUCAGAUCGCUUCAGUGCAUGACUAUGCUACAGGAUGAUACAAGAUCACAGACAGAAAUACGAUCAAGGAUCAAACAUAAAUUACAUAAUACUUAACUAAAUUAAAUGAAUGGCUGGAAUGAAGUUCCUGACCCUGGUGAUGAUUUUGGAAAAGCAAAGAGACAUUCUGAUGCCACCUUGUAUUGAGCCUGCAAUACUCCAAAAUGAUUUUGUUGUAUUCAUAAUUUUCUAUCAAAUAAUCUUUUAGUUUAAUUUUCAAAUUUAAGCUAAGUGAAUUUUUAUUAUUCUUAACCACAAGUGUAAAAGCCGCUGGCAGAUGUGUUGUUCCCCUUUGAAUUUUAUUCUUUUUGUUUUUUAUGAAAGCCAGAUCUGUCUCAACAUUAGAUUAAAAUAAUUUUGUAAUGAUACUAUUUCUUCUUUUUUUGUUUUGUGUCAAUAUCAGCAAUGUUUUCCAAUGGUUUUCCAUCAAACCUUUCCAAACUUUUGCAAAGAAUUCUUCUAAAAAAUUCCUUCAACUUUAAUGCGAUGAUUUCCAAUGUUCAAAGAGUUCCAUGGAAUUUCAACUGCAUUUUCACAGGGCUGCUCCCAUGGGUAUGUGAGUUUAAAUUUAAAUUAAUUUUCAGACUUUUUUUUCAUGCCGUUUUUCCAAACUUUUCCAUGGAACAUGUACAGACGGGUGUUUUUGUGACAUAAACACUUUCUAGUUUUAGUUUAUGUUUGGGAUCAUGCAAGAUAUCUGGACAGUUUUUUUUAAUUCAAAAUCAAGAAUUUAUUCAAUUCGGCAAAACAAACAUUUUGGUUAUCUUACAGUAUUUGUUCAUUGCUGUGAAAUUGAUAAUUGCAUGCAUUUAAAUAACUUUUUACAUUAUUCUUUUGAUCAUAAAUAUAUGUAUAAAAAUGUAUAUAUUGAUUUGUCAAUAGUGUUUCAUUAAUGUGUUCUUACGAAAACUUAAAUAAAAGGCAAUUGAUGAUAUACCUUUUAUUUAUGUUUUGAUAAAAGGUCUCUCUGCCUUUUAUUCAUAUUUUGUUUCCUAUAUUUUAUUUGCAGUUUGUUUCUCAUAUAUAAUGAAUGUGAAUGCCUCUUAUUAGUAUUUUGUUACUACCUUUUAUUCAUGUUUUGUUUCUUUGAAACAAAAUAUUAAUAAAAGGUCUCUCUGCCUUUUAUUCAUAUUUUGUUUCCUAUAUUUUAUUUGCAAUUUGUUUCUCAUGUAAUGAAUGUGAAUGCCUUUUGUUAGUAUUUUGUUACUACCUUUUAUUCAUGUUUUAUUUGCCUUUUGUUAUCUCAUUUGCAUAUCAUUUGCUAGGCUAAUAAAAGGUCUUCAAAACAUAACAUUUUAUUUGCCUUUUGUUUCAGCCUUUUGUUACCCAUUUUUUUUCGUAU